UUAAGCGACUAAGCGUACACGGUGGAUGCCCUGGCAGUCAGAGGCGAUGAAGGACGUGCUAAUCUGCGAUAAGCGUCGGUAAGGUGAUAUGAACCGUUAUAACCGGCGAUUUCCGAAUGGGGAAACCCAGUGUGAUUCGUCACACUAUCAUUAACUGAAUCCAUAGGUUAAUGAGGCGAACCGGGGGAACUGAAACAUCUAAGUACCCCGAGGAAAAGAAAUCAACCGAGAUUCCCCCAGUAGCGGCGAGCGAACGGGGAGGAGCCCAGAGCCUGAAUCAGUGUGUGUGUUAGUGGAAGCGUCUGGAAAGGCGCGCGAUACAGGGUGACAGCCCCGUACACAAAAAUGCACAUGCUGUGAGCUCGAUGAGUAGGGCGGGACACGUGGUAUCCUGUCUGAAUAUGGGGGGACCAUCCUCCAAGGCUAAAUACUCCUGACUGACCGAUAGUGAACCAGUACCGUGAGGGAAAGGCGAAAAGAACCCCGGCGAGGGGAGUGAAAAAGAACCUGAAACCGUGUACGUACAAGCAGUGGGAGCACGCUUAGGCGUGUGACUGCGUACCUUUUGUAUAAUGGGUCAGCGACUUAUAUUCUGUAGCAAGGUUAACCGAAUAGGGGAGCCGAAGGGAAACCGAGUCUUAACUGGGCGUUAAGUUGCAGGGUAUAGACCCGAAACCCGGUGAUCUAGCCAUGGGCAGGUUGAAGGUUGGGUAACACUAACUGGAGGACCGAACCGACUAAUGUUGAAAAAUUAGCGGAUGACUUGUGGCUGGGGGUGAAAGGCCAAUCAAACCGGGAGAUAGCUGGUUCUCCCCGAAAGCUAUUUAGGUAGCGCCUCGUGAAUUCAUCUCCGGGGGUAGAGCACUGUUUCGGCAAGGGGGUCAUCCCGACUUACCAACCCGAUGCAAACUGCGAAUACCGGAGAAUGUUAUCACGGGAGACACACGGCGGGUGCUAACGUCCGUCGUGAAGAGGGAAACAACCCAGACCGCCAGCUAAGGUCCCAAAGUCAUGGUUAAGUGGGAAACGAUGUGGGAAGGCCCAGACAGCCAGGAUGUUGGCUUAGAAGCAGCCAUCAUUUAAAGAAAGCGUAAUAGCUCACUGGUCGAGUCGGCCUGCGCGGAAGAUGUAACGGGGCUAAACCAUGCACCGAAGCUGCGGCAGCGACGCUUAUGCGUUGUUGGGUAGGGGAGCGUUCUGUAAGCCUGCGAAGGUGUGCUGUGAGGCAUGCUGGAGGUAUCAGAAGUGCGAAUGCUGACAUAAGUAACGAUAAAGCGGGUGAAAAGCCCGCUCGCCGGAAGACCAAGGGUUCCUGUCCAACGUUAAUCGGGGCAGGGUGAGUCGACCCCUAAGGCGAGGCCGAAAGGCGUAGUCGAUGGGAAACAGGUUAAUAUUCCUGUACUUGGUGUUACUGCGAAGGGGGGACGGAGAAGGCUAUGUUGGCCGGGCGACGGUUGUCCCGGUUUAAGCGUGUAGGCUGGUUUUCCAGGCAAAUCCGGAAAAUCAAGGCUGAGGCGUGAUGACGAGGCACUACGGUGCUGAAGCAACAAAUGCCCUGCUUCCAGGAAAAGCCUCUAAGCAUCAGGUAACAUCAAAUCGUACCCCAAACCGACACAGGUGGUCAGGUAGAGAAUACCAAGGCGCUUGAGAGAACUCGGGUGAAGGAACUAGGCAAAAUGGUGCCGUAACUUCGGGAGAAGGCACGCUGAUAUGUAGGUGAAGCGACUUGCUCGUGGAGCUGAAAUCAGUCGAAGAUACCAGCUGGCUGCAACUGUUUAUUAAAAACACAGCACUGUGCAAACACGAAAGUGGACGUAUACGGUGUGACGCCUGCCCGGUGCCGGAAGGUUAAUUGAUGGGGUUAGCGCAAGCGAAGCUCUUGAUCGAAGCCCCGGUAAACGGCGGCCGUAACUAUAACGGUCCUAAGGUAGCGAAAUUCCUUGUCGGGUAAGUUCCGACCUGCACGAAUGGCGUAAUGAUGGCCAGGCUGUCUCCACCCGAGACUCAGUGAAAUUGAACUCGCUGUGAAGAUGCAGUGUACCCGCGGCAAGACGGAAAGACCCCGUGAACCUUUACUAUAGCUUGACACUGAACAUUGAGCCUUGAUGUGUAGGAUAGGUGGGAGGCUUUGAAGUGUGGACGCCAGUCUGCAUGGAGCCGACCUUGAAAUACCACCCUUUAAUGUUUGAUGUUCUAACGUUGACCCGUAAUCCGGGUUGCGGACAGUGUCUGGUGGGUAGUUUGACUGGGGCGGUCUCCUCCUAAAGAGUAACGGAGGAGCACGAAGGUUGGCUAAUCCUGGUCGGACAUCAGGAGGUUAGUGCAAUGGCAUAAGCCAGCUUGACUGCGAGCGUGACGGCGCGAGCAGGUGCGAAAGCAGGUCAUAGUGAUCCGGUGGUUCUGAAUGGAAGGGCCAUCGCUCAACGGAUAAAAGGUACUCCGGGGAUAACAGGCUGAUACCGCCCAAGAGUUCAUAUCGACGGCGGUGUUUGGCACCUCGAUGUCGGCUCAUCACAUCCUGGGGCUGAAGUAGGUCCCAAGGGUAUGGCUGUUCGCCAUUUAAAGUGGUACGCGAGCUGGGUUUAGAACGUCGUGAGACAGUUCGGUCCCUAUCUGCCGUGGGCGCUGGAGAACUGAGGGGGGCUGCUCCUAGUACGAGAGGACCGGAGUGGACGCAUCACUGGUGUUCGGGUUGUCAUGCCAAUGGCACUGCCCGGUAGCUAAAUGCGGAAGAGAUAAGUGCUGAAAGCAUCUAAGCACGAAACUUGCCCCGAGAUGAGUUCUCCCUGACUCCUUGAGAGUCCUGAAGGAACGUUGAAGACGACGACGUUGAUAGGCCGGGUGUGUAAGCGCAGCGAUGCGUUGAGCUAACCGGUACUAAUGAACCGUGAGGCUUAACCUU
rnacentral:rRNA from 1 species